AACGAACGCUGGCGGCAUGCCUAACACAUGUAAGUCGAACGAGAACUUCGGGUCUUGUGGCCACAGGUUGCGUAACGAGUGGGAACCUGCCCUUUAGCUCGGAAUCACUCCCCGCAAUGGGUGCUAAUACCGGAUUAUGUCUUCGGCUAAAAGAUUUAUUGCUUUUGGAUGGGCCCGCGGUGUAUUUGAUAGUUGGUAGGGUAAAAGCCUACCAAGCCGACGAUUCAUAGCUGGUCUGAGAGGAUGAUCAGCCACACUAGGACUGAGACACGGCCCAGACUCCUACGGUAGGCAGCAGUGGGGAAUAUUGGACAAUGGGCGAGAGCCUGAUCCAGCAAUGCCGCGUGAGGGAAGAAGGCCUUAGGGUUGUAAAGCUCUUUUACCCGGUAUGAUAAUGACAGUACCGUGAGAAUAAGCACCGGCUAACUCCGUG
rnacentral:rRNA from 1 species